rnacentral:rRNA from 1 species
AUUGAACGCUGGCGGCAUGCUUUACACAUGCAAGUCGAACGGUAACAGGCCUUCGGGUGCUGACGAGUGGCGAACGGGCGAGUAAUGCAUCGGAACGUACCCAGAGGUGGGGGAUAACGCAGCGAAAGCUGUGCUAAUACCGCAUGUGAUCUGAGGAUGAAAGCGGGGGACCGAGCAGCAAUGUUUGGCCUCGCGCCUUUGGAGCGGCCGAUGUCGGAUUAGCUAGUUGGUGGGGUAAAGGCCUACCCAGGCGACGAUCCGUAGCUGGUCUGAGAGGACGACCGGCCGCACUGGGACUGGAACACGGCCCAGGCUCCUGCGAGAGGCAGCAGUGGGGAAUGUUGGACAAUGGGCGCAAGCCUGAUCCAGCGGUGCCGCGUGCGGGAAGAAGGCCUUCGGGUUGUAAACCGCUUUUGGCAGGAACGAAACGGUGUCCGCUAAUACCGAGCGCUAAUGACGGUACCGGCAGAAUAAGCACCGGCUAACUACGUG